CGCAGGAUGGAGCAGCGGCAGCUCGUCGGGUUCAUAGCCCGAAGGUCGCCGGUUCGAGUCCGGCUCCUGCUACCA
rnacentral:tRNA from 1 species